ACAUACGGCCGUACCACCAUGAACGCACACUGGAUCUCGUCUGAUCUCUGGAGCUAAGCAGGGUCGGCCCUGGUUAGUACGUGGAUGGGAGACAUUCGGUGACUCUUAGGUCCUCCCCAAUGAC
rfam:Mesocricetus auratus contig151082, whole genome shotgun sequence.